UCCAUAGGAAAUAACGGUCUACCCACCGUCGUCGCCGGGAAGCUAAGAACUUCCCUGACCAACCAUGGAGUCCACGUUCUCAUCUUCUCCUCCUUAUUCCCCUUUCUCUCUUUGUUUUAGCUUCGAUUAUGCUUCGAAUCCACUCCCAUCGUGGCUUUUCCGCCCGUCCUUUCCCUCCUCCUCGUCUUCUCCGACCGCCAACGCCCGGUUCUUCUUUCUCCACCAAAUUCCCGAACCCGAUCCCUGUUCUGUCCUCCGAUUCGAUGGAUAUCGCCACCGGAGAUCUCUUCCGCCCCUGCAAGGCUUCCCUUGGCGAUGGCGAUCAAGGGACCGUCGGAGAUGGCGGCGGUUGCGGGCGGUGCCGAUGACGAUGACCAAUUGCUCCCAGCCGUUCUCUUCUUAUCAGUGAUUUAGGCUGGGUUUCAUCCCAUCAAGAAGAAAAGAUUGUUGCGGCUUGCUAUACCGAUUCAAAGUCCACAUUCUAAAUUCAUCAUUUUCUUUAAGAAUGUCGCUGAUGCUGCAUGUUUUGUAAGUAACAGAGGAUCAUUGUUUUUGAGCUUUUACUAAUCUUGGCUAGGCUUUGUUCUAUCAGGCCUUCAUCUGAUGA